rnacentral:rRNA from 14 species
UCCAAUCGAAUUCGGAGCUAGCUGGUUCUCCCCGAAAUGCGUUGAGGCGCAGCGGUGACGACGAACUUCCUUGGGGUAAAGCUACUGUUUCGAUACGGGCUGCGAAAGCGGUACCAAGUCGUGGCAAACUCAGAAUACAAGGAAACGUUUUCCGUCAACCAGUGAGACGGUGGGGGAUAAGCUUCAUCGUCAAGAGGGAAACAGCCCAGAUCACCAGCUAAGGCCCCUAAAUGGCUGCUAAGUGGAAAAGGAUGUGAGAAUGCUGAAACAACCAGGAGGUUUGCUUAGAAGCAGCCACCCUUUAAAGAGUGCGU